UUUCUGCUCACACACAGGAUGUACUUAGUGGCUUAAGGGAAACUAAUUAAGGAAAAUAGGUACACAGUUGUACACAGAGCAGUUCAGAUUCUGAAAAGUCCUAUCUGAAAACCAGGGAAGUGCAGUACAGAGCAAUGUGACUCAACUUGGUUUUCUGUCUGAUGCUGAAAGAUAGCAAAGUCAGCUACAGUAUUUUGAAUCACACUCGUACGCCAUAAUGUUGUACAGGGUAUCAUUUUCAUGUGCAAAUCACCUAAAUAUUAAAUAUUAAAAAGUAUUAAAUGGAAAUGAAGAAAUAUAAUGUCCAGGGUUGUGCAAUCCACAUUUGUAAGUGUCUUGUGCAGUGCAAAUAUGCUUAAAAGUGAUUUAAGUGAUGAAGUGAUUCGAUUAGAUGACCACGCAUCUAAUCGAAUUAGUGUAAACAAUGUCCAGAAUCAGCUCUGUUAUAUUUCAGAGACCAACAGCAAGUUUUCACUGAGAAGGUAAGUUGAAAUUAGAUUACUAAUUACCCACUAAUUACCAGAAUGCGUGCGUAUUUGGUAAAUCCUUAAGAACUGCCUUGUAAAAUUAACACAAAAAGAACUCGUAGAAUGAUUAAAUGUUUAUUAUUAUUAAUUAUUAAACACUUUAAUAUUUCUGUUUAAACAUUAUAUAAACUGGCAAAAUGUCCACAGGGAUAGCCUUCAUGAGCCUUUUUUUUUUUUACUAAGAAUAACUUCUCUGAUAGAGUAUGGGAUAAACUGAAGCCUCGUCUCGAGUUAAAGGUCAAGUUCAUAUGAUUUCAUUUGCAGAAGUUUGUCUAUUUCAUCAGAAGAGACCUGCACAGACAAGCCUUUGUUUGUCAGUGGUAUCUGUCUCGAUUUGACUACCAAAGUACUAUACUGCCCUAUUCAAAGUGCAUAUUGUCAUGUUGUUUGGAUGUACCAAUAUUAACGGUAUAUUAUUUUGCAUAAAAUCCCAUGUGUUCAACUUUCUCUGUUUUUUUGUUGUUGUUGGGUUUGGGGGGGUUUUUUUGUUUUUUUUUUGCCUUUUGUGUUUACAGGCCAUGGAAUUGCUGAACCCUCUUUCACUACUUUUAGCAACAGUCCAGCUGCACUUUGUUUUCUCUUCCGAUGUGUGCCCAAAUGCAGGAGAUUUAGAAAUUGGCAAUUUAACUUGGAAACUUGAAUGUUGUAUGAGCAACAGAAAACAAUUCACACUGAAAAUUGUGGCUCAAAAAUUGGACUCAUUGGACUCGAUGUACAGCUCAGAAAGGUGUCCUGGCACCAAUUACAGAGAGCGAAAGUGUUUGAAUUUCUCUCUAGCGGUAGAAAAUGGAAUUAUAAAGGUCUCUGUAAACGAUACAGUUUGUAAGGAAAACUACACUCAGCCUGAAUGCCACCCAAAUGUCACUUUCAACAAUACAGCUGUAAAUCUUCCACAACAGAAUGGAAAUAUCUGCUUCAAUAUGACAUCAGAGAACAACAUGAAAGUAAAGAUUAAAUUUCAGUGUGCUGAGUACCCUGCUGCUAACAUCAGUCUACACGACGAAAGUAAAAGUUGGAUUGAUGCCUUGGAGGACUGCCAGAUGGAACAUUUCUCCCUGGUUGAGAUCUGUGAAAAGACUGCAAAAUAAAACAGACUCAAAGACAGGGGUGUGGAUUGGACUGCAAAGGUCCAUUUUUGGCUACAGUCCUGAGUGGAAGUGGAUUUCAGGGUAUAAUGUUGUAAAAUCACAGUUGAAUAGAACGUCGUCCACCAACUCUGACUUUGACAACCACUGUGGAAAAGUCAUCUUUGAUAAUAAGACAGAAGAAAUCAAGUGGUCCAACGCCAACUGCCAUGAAAAAUUACCAUACAUUUGUCAAAGAAUGAAUGAAAAGCCUUGUACUGAUGAUUAUACAGAGAAGUCAGAGCUUUUCAUUGACAUUGACUGAACUGAUAGCACCAAAGAAAACAAUACGCAGCGUCUCCAAUCAUCAUCAUGUCAAGGUGAGAUUCUUGGAGAAGCAGAUUGAUGACCCAACAACCCCAAUGACCAUGGCACAUCUGAUUCAUCUAUCAUUACUGCUAGCAGUGAGCCAGCUGCCCUGUGUUUCAGCCAUACGAGACUUUCCAGAUGGAGGAAUCAAAUUUACUCCCUAUCAUCUGUGCCCUGUUGGAGGGAAUAUUACACACGACUGCAAUUGCACAGCUGGCAAGUGGAUAUGGAAAUUUAAAUGUUGUGGGCCCACUGUUAACCAAGUCACACUGGAAGCAACUGCCACAGCCAAUUACACUGAGACAGAGGACUGUACUAAUAAACAGAGAUGGGCAGUAAUGCGUUACUUGUAAUGCGUUACUGUAAUCUGAUUACUUU